rnacentral:rRNA from 1 species
AGAGUUUGAUCCUGGCUCAGAACUAACGCUGGCGGCGUGCCUAACACAUGCAAGUCGAACGAGAAAGCCGCAAGGUGAAUAAAGUGGCGGACGGGUGCGUAACACGUGGGUAACCUACCCUUUGACCUGGGAUAACACGCCGAAAGGUGUGCUAAUACCGGAUAAGACUACAGCUCUGCGGAGUGGUGGGAAAAGAUGCUCGCAAGGGUGUCAUCGAUGGAUGGGCCCGCGGCCUAUCAGCUAGUUGGUGAGGUAACGGCUCACCAAGGCUACGACGGGUAACUGGUCUGAGAGGACGACCAGUCACACUGGAACUGAGACACGGUCCAGACUCCUGCGGGAGGCAGCAGUGGGGAAUAUUGCGCAAUGGGCGAAAGCCUGACGCAGCAACGCCGCGUGGGUGAUGUAGGCCUUCGGGUUGUAAAGCCCUGUCGCCCGGGACGAAUAAGCCGUUUAACAAACGGCCCUGACGGUACCGGGAGAGGAAGCACCGGCUAACUCUGUGCCAGCAGCCGCGGUAAUACAGAGGUUGCUAGCGUUGUUCGGAAUUAUUGGGCGUAAAGGGCGCGUAGGCGGCUCGGUAUGUCGGGUGUGAAAGCCCACCUCUUAAAGGUGGAAUUGCAUUCGAAACUACCGAGCUAGAGUAUCGGAGAGGAUGGUGGAAUUCCUGGUGUAGAGGUGAAAUUCGUAGAUAUCAGGAGGAACACCGGUGGCGAAGGCGGCCAUCUGGACGAAUACUGACGCUGAGGCGCAAAAGCGUGGGGAUCAAACAGGAUUAGAUACCCUGGUAGUCCACGCUGUAAACGAUGGGUGCUAGGUGUUGUGGGUAUUGACCCCCGCAGUGCCGUCGCUAACGCAUUAAGCACCCCGCCUGGGGAGUACGGCCGCAAGGCUAAAACUCAAAGGAAUUGACGGGGGUCCGCACAAGCGGUGGAGCAUGUGGUUCAAUUCGACGCAACGCGCAGAACCUUACCUGGGCUUGACAUCCACGGAAUUUCUUGGAAACAAGAGAGUGCUACCCGCAAGGGUAGAGCCGUGAGACAGGUGCUGCAUGGCUGUCGUCAGCUCGUGUCGUGAGAUGUUGGGUUAAGUCCCGCAACGAGCGCAACCCUUGUCUCUAGUUGCCAGCGAGUAAAGUCGGGCACUCUAGAGAGACUGCCGGCGUUAAGCCGGAGGAAGGCAGGGAUGACGUCAAGUCCUCAUGGCCUUUAUGCCCAGGGCUACACACGUGCUACAAUGGCCGCCACAAACCGUUGCUAACUCGCGAGAGUACGCCAAUCGGAAAAAAGCGGCCUCAGUUCAGAUUGCGGUCUGCAACUCGACUGCAUGAAGGCGGAAUCGCUAGUAAUCGCGCAUCAGAACGGCGCGGUGAAUACGUUCCCGGGCCUUGUACACACCGCCCGUCACACCACGAAAGUCGCUUGGACCAGAAAUGCGCUCACCAAGAGCGCCUUAAGGUCUGAGUGGUGAUUGGGGUGAAGUCGUAACAAGGUA